GCCUUAGUAACUGCGAGUGAAGCGGCAAGAGCUCAAAUUUGAAAUCUGGCACCUUCGGUGUCCGAGUUGUAAUUUGUAGAAGCAUCUUUUGGAUUGGUCCUUGCAUAUGUUCCUUGGAACAGGACAUCAUAGAGGGUGAGAAUCCCGUUCAUGGUGGGGAAUCCAAUUCUUUGUAAAGUGCUUUCGAAGAGUCGAGUUGUUUGGGAAUGCAGCUCUAAGUGGGUGGUAAAUUCCAUCUAAAGCUAAAUAUUGGCGAGAGACCGAUAGCGAACAAGUACAGUGAUGGAAAGAUGAAAAGAACUCCGAAAGGAGAGUGAAAAAGGACGUGAAAUUGUUGAAAGGGAAGUGCUUGAGAUCAGUCUUAAGGUUUAGUGAUCAGUCUUCCUUUUGGUUGGUGCACUCACUAUUUCUUAGGCCAACAUCAGUUUUCGCGGCAGGAUAAUGACAUUGGAAUGUGGCUCUUUCGGGAGUGUUAUAGCCUUUGUUGAUACUGCCUGCUU
rnacentral:rRNA from 1 species